rnacentral:misc_RNA from 1 species
GUAUUGAUUGCGUGUCACCGCAAAAAUGAACAUUCUAGACUGUAUCAAGUUUUAUGUGAAAACGCGAGCCCUCCCCCCGCAAAGGGAGGACCCACGCGGUGAUGCACAAAAGGGUGAGAUGGAUUGUGGUGAGAGCGCUCGGGCGUGCACGACCUUCAAAGGUCAGCGACAGCCCUUGCACCUCGGUUGUACGAUAAUGAUCCUUCCGCAGGUUCACCUACGGAAA